rnacentral:rRNA from 1 species
UACGUACCGUCCAAACGUUAUUCGGAAUUACUGGGCUUAAAGGGUUUGUAGGCGGCGCUGUUAGUCGGGCGUGAAAUCCCCGGGCUCAACCCGGGAACUGCGUCCGAUACUGGCAGGCUUGAAUUCGGGAGAGGGAUGCGGAAUUCCAGGUGUAGCGGUGAAAUGCGUAGAUAUCUGGAGGAACACCGGUGGCGAAGGCGGCAUCCUGGACCGAAAUUGACGCUGAGGCGCGAAAGCGUGGGGAGCAAACAGG